GGCGGCAGCGGGUCGGUGUAGAAAAUGGCGCUGGUGCAGCGGCUCGGGCCUCUCCCCGCGGCGCUGCGGAGGGCUUGAGGCUCGCGAGCCUCCUUCGCCGCGCCCCACUUGCUCGUGCACUUUACACACAUGAGAGAAUUGGAAGCUAAAGCUACCAAAGACGUAGAAAGAAAUCUUAGCAGUGCCAGAACAGAUAAAGCCCAGUGUAAGCCAGCCUCAGCCUGCCAACUCUAAUAACGGCACUUCCACAGCAACCAGCACUAAUAAUAAUGCCAAG
rnacentral:sRNA from 2 species